UGUGGAUUCCCCUAUUGGCAGGGGAAUAGGGAGGUUGUCCCUGGCCAGGCUGAGUGUGCAGGUGUUUGUGUGUGCCACGCAGCCCUUCAUCCCACAGCAGCCCUGCAUCCCACAGCCAGCAGGCGCUUGGAUCCUGCAGCGCAGAGGGUAAGUGCUGUGGCGGGAUCCACUUAUCUCGUCUUUGCAUUUCAUAAUUCAUCCUGCCCUUUUGCUAAAGGCACAGAGCCGUUUGCAUCCGAACGAGCGUUUAUUUCCUCCCGGCUCAGCUCCGCUGCUGGAUCCCGGGCAGAAAUCAGCGGGUCAGAACAGCAGCUGCAAGGGCUGGGCUGGAAGAACAGGGAGAGCAAUCCGUGCCCAACAGGAUGCCCUGACAGAUGGCAAGGUGACGGAGGAGAAGGUGAGUGGUGUUUUCUGCCCAGCUUUAUAGCUUGCUCUGCAGGGAGGAAAAGUAUCAGUGGUGUCUUGUCCUUAGAAACUGAAGCACAGGAGAGUUUGGCUGCCUCGCGUAGCAGAGGUUCUGCAUUGACCCCACCAAGCUGUACUGCCUUGCCGUGGUUUUUGUGCCCUGUUGAGACCAAAAUCAGAGUGAAACAGGCAAACACACAUUCUCCUGGCACAGCAAUCCUCACACUGGCAGCGGUCAGCUUGUGGUGCAAGGCACGAGAUUCAAUUAUCUUUAUCGGAGCUCGCAGCAGUGAGCAGCUCUCUGAUUCCAACGGCAAUGCCAAAUGCAAGCUGUACCUUCUCCAGCUUAAACUCUUGCUUUGGAGCUUCAAAGCUUCCCAGCAGCUGGAAACUCUUACCGGGGACAAUGCCUUUUAUGUGUGUGUGUGCCUUCCCAGUGCCAGCAUGGGUUUGGGGCACACAGCAAUGGGCCAAAAUUGCAACAAAGCCAGCAGUGCCUCUGGCCUCACACUGGGGAGCCAGUGUCUGCUAAGAGAGAUGUGUUUUACAGGGAAUCGUGGGGAGGGGGGAUUGUUCUGUCUGAAAAAUGGUGGACAGGCUUGGCAUCCCCAGCCCUGGUCCUGGCUUAUGCCUUUGGCUGUGGUGUGUGAUGGGUUUUUCUCCUGGCUGUUUGCAGAGGCAGAGGAGUAUAAGUAG
rnacentral:lncRNA from 1 species